rnacentral:rRNA from 1 species
CGGACGGGUGAGUAAUGUCUGGGAAACUGCCUGAUGGAGGGGGAUAACUACUGGAAACGGUAGCUAAUACCGCAUAACGUCGCAAGACCAAAGUGGGGGACCUUCGGGCCUCUUGCCAUCGGAUGUGCCCAGAUGGGAUUAGCUAGUAGGUGGGGUAACGGCUCACCUAGGCGACGAUCCCUAGCUGGUCUGAGAGGAUGACCAACCACACUGGAACUGAGACACGGUCCAG